GCUCCCUCCGCGCCAUCAGACGUCCUACGGACGGCAGCAUGGGGAAUCGUUGCGGCAAUGGACGAAAGUCUGACGCAGCAACGCCGCGUGAGGGACGAAGGGUUUUACUGGUAAUUGUAAACCUCUUUCGACUAGGGACGAGUAAUGACGGUACCUGUACGAAGAAGCACCGGCCAACUAUGUGCCAGCCGCCGCGGUAAUAC
rnacentral:rRNA from 1 species